ACGGAGGGUGCAAGCGUUGUCCGGAUUUAUUGGGUUUAAAGGGUGCGUAGGUGGCGUGUUAAGUCAGUGGUGAAAGCCUGCAGCUCAACUGUAGAGGUGCCAUUGAUACUGACAUGCUUGAGUAUGGACGAGGUAGGCGGAAUUUGUGGUGUAGCGGUGAAAUGCAUAGAUACCACAAAGAACACCGAUAGCGAAGGCAGCUUACUGGACCAUAACUGACACUGAGGCACGAAAGCGUGGGGAGCGAACAGG
rnacentral:rRNA from 1 species